GACCUCCUGGGAUCGCGUCUGGAGAGUGGCCAGUGUUCUGCCAGCUUCGGAAACAGGAGGGAGAGCAACCCGGCAGGGCACCCAUUCCAUUCCCAGCUUGUCCAGUAGCUGGUGACUGGAAGACACUCUGCAACAGCC
ensembl:snoRNA